AGUGGCGAACGGGUGAGUAACACGUGAGUAACCUGCCCUUGACUCUGGGAUAAGCCUGGGAAACUGGGUCUAAUACCGGAUAUGACCUUUCACCGCAUGGUGGGGGGUGGAAAGCUUUUGCGGUUUUGGAUGGACUCUAGGCCUAUCAGCUUGUUGGUGGGGUGAUGGCCUACCAAGGCGACGACGGGUAGCCGGCCUGAGAGGGUGACCGGCCACACUGGGACUGAGACACGGUACCAGACUCCUACGGGAGGCAGCAGUGGGGAAUAUUGCACAAUGGGCGAAAGCCUGAUGCAGCGACGCCGCGUGAGGGAUGACGGCCUUCGGGUUGUAAACCUCUUUCAGUAGGGAAGAAGCGUAAGUGACGGUACCUGCAGAAGAAGCGCCGGCUAACUACGUGCCAGCAGCCGCGGUAAUACGUAGGGCGCGAGCGUUAUCCGGAAUUAUUGGGCGUAAAGAGCUCGUAGGCGGUUUGUCGCGUCUGCUGUGAAAGACCGGGGCUUAACUCCGGUUCUGCAGUGGGUACGGGCAGGCUAGAGUGCAGUAGGGGAGACUGGAAUUCCUGGUGUAGCGGUGAAAUGCGCAGAUAUCAGGAGGAACACCGAUGGCGAAAGCGGGUCUCUGGGCUGUAACUGACGCUGAGGAGCGAAAGCAUGGGGAGCGAACAGGAUUAGAUACCCUGGUAGUCCAUGCCGUAAACGUUGGGCACUAUGUGUGGGGGGCAUUCCACGUUUCCCGCGCCGUAGCUAACGCAUUAAGUGCCCCGCCUGGGGAGUACGGCCGCAAGGCUAAAACUCAAAGGAAGUUGACGGGGGCCGGCACAAGCGGCGGAGCAUGCGGAUUAAUUCGAUGCUACGCGAAGAACCAUACCAACGGCUUGACAUGGGCCGGAUCGCCGCAGAAAUGUGAUUGCCCUUCUGGGCGGUCACAAGUAGUGCAUGAUGUCGUCAGCU
rnacentral:rRNA from 1 species